rnacentral:lncRNA from 13 species
AUACUUCUAAACUAACAUGUAUUUAAAAUACAUAACAACAAAUCUUCAUAAAUUUUAAGUAUAUGCUCAAGAAAAAGAAGGCUUAUAUAACUAGAGUUAAGAAUCUGCAUCCAUUGAAAUAAUAAAAAUAACAACAGUAUUUCAAUAUGCAUUAAACACAUACCAGGUGCCAGGCACCAUGCUAACUAUUUUACAUGCAUAAUCUCAUUUAUUUCACAAUAACAUUCCAAAGUAGAUACUGUUCUAUAGACAUGGAGACUGCACGAUAGGGCUCUAAAUAACUUGCUUAGACUCACAUGGCAGAGCCUGAAUUCUAUCCAGGUCCAACUGUUUCCAGAAAAUAUUCUUUAACCAUUACCCAUCUGCUUUCAAACAUAAUGGAGAUAAAACUCACUUUACAGGAUAGUUACAACCGCAAAUUCUCUGCCACACCUGCCUUACCUAGUAAUCCACACCCGUAUUGGUAACCAUGAUUAACUCAUUUUAGGUAUAAAAUUGUGACCCGAAAUUUUAUCACCAGUCACUAUCAUAUCAAACUGUAACCUUAUGGAAGGUAAGGACUGUACAUUAUAGGAACAGAUUUAAAUAUUUCAGGUGUAAUAUGGUUUGGCUGUGUCCCAACCCAAAUCUUAUCUUGAAUUCCCAUGUGUGUGGGAGGGACCUGGUAGGAGGUAAUUUUAUCAUGGGGCAGGUCUUUCCCAUGCUGUUCUUGUGAUAGUGAACAAGUCUCAUGAGGUCUGAUGGUUUUAUAAAGAAGAGUUUCCCUACUCAAGCUUCUCUUCUCUUUUUUGCUGCCAUGUGAGAUGUGCCUUUCACCUUCUGCUGUGACUGUGAGGCCUCCCAAGCCACGUGGAACACUAAGGACAUUAAACUUUUUCUUCUCAGUCUCGGUAACUUCCUUCAAAUCUGUGUUCUGCUACCGUAAAACAAGUGAUGCAAUUCCAUGUCAUCGUUACCCUAUUUUGUUGAUAACUUCAUCUCCAAUGAUGAGACUUCCACAAGAAUCUGAAAAAAACAGCAUGGCAGGAUAA